rnacentral:rRNA from 1 species
AUACGAAAGGUGCAAGCGUUGUUCGGAUUUACUGGGCGUAAAGAGAGUGUAGGUGGUUUAUUAAGUCGGAUGUGAAAUCCCGGGGCUCAACCUCGAAACUGCAUUCGAUACUGAUAGGCUAGAGGUUGGGAGGGGUAAGCGGAAUUCCGUGUGUAGCAGUGAAAUGCGUAGAUAUACGGAGGAACACCUGAGGCGAAGGCGGCUUACUGGACCAAUACUGACACUGAGACUCGAAAGCGUGGGUAGCAAACAGGAUUAGAUACCCUAGUAGUCC